rnacentral:rRNA from 1 species
UAGGGAAUCUUCGGCAAUGGACGGAAGUCUGACCGAGCAACGCCGCGUGAGUGAAGAAGGUCUUCGGAUCGUAAAGCUCUUUUGUUAGAGAAGAACGUUGGUAGGAGUGGAAAAUCUACCAAGUGACGGUAACUAACCAGAAAGGGACGGCUAACUACGUGCCAGCAGCCGCGGUAAUACGUGGGUCCCGAGCGUUGUCCGGAUUUAUUGGGCGUAAAGCGAGCGCAGGCGGUUCUUUAAGUCGGAGGUUAAAGGCAGUGGCUUAACCAUUGUACGCUUUGGAAACUGGAGGGCUUGAGUGCAGAAGGGGAGAGUGGAAUUCCAUGUGUAGCGGUGAAAUGCGUAGAUAUAUGGAGGAACACCGGUGGCGAAGGCGGCUCUCUGGUCUGUAACUGACGCUGAGGCUCGAAAGCGUGGGGAGCAAACAGG